rnacentral:rRNA from 1 species
GAGCGGCGGACGGGUGAGUAAUGCCUAGGAAUCUGCCUGGUAGUGGGGGAUAACGCUCGGAAACGGACGCUAAUACCGCAUACGUCCUACGGGAGAAAGCAGGGGACCUUCGGGCCUUGCGCUAUCAGAUGAGCCUAGGUCGGAUUAGCUAGUUGGUGAGGUAAUGGCUCACCAAGGCGACGAUCCGUAACUGGUCUGAGAGGAUGAUCAGUCACACUGGAACUGAGACACGGUCCAGACUCCUACGGGAGGCAGCAGUGGGGAAUAUUGGACAAUGGGCGAAAGCCUGAUCCAGCCAUGCCGCGUGUGUGAAGAAGGUCUUCGGAUUGUAAAGCACUUUAAGUUGGGAGGAAGGGCAUUUACCUAAUACGUAAGUGUUUUGACGUUACCGACAG